AGACACAAAUUUUUCAAUAUGGAAUAAAUUUGUAUUGAUAUUUGGUAUUAGAAACAAAUCAAAGAGAUUCCCAACAGCUACUGUAACUGGACAUGCCUUAGCCAAUAGAGAAAGAGGCUCCGAAGAAUAUCUUUGAUAGAGAGCGAUGAAUGUCAGCGUUUAUUGUUGAUUUUUCUGCAGCAUGAUUUCUAAUUUGAGGGUAUAUACACGUUGGCAGCUGUGCGUAAAGUCGUUUACAAGAGAACGAGUGCGAGCAAAUGAAGUUCGCGUUGCUGCCACGCAUUAGGGUAACCAAUAAUUUAAGACAUCGUAAACACAUCGUAAAUUUUGCACAAGCAAAUUUAGGCUUUAAUUUUCUAUAAAAGACAACGGACAUGGAACUCGAGACUGAAGACGUUGUCGCUGUCGUCUCGGUUGGGGCAUUCCUUUGCCAGUUGCUGGCUUCGCCGUGCAACUGCAGCACGUAAUUACAGCCCAUUAAUUUUUGUGUGCUUCUCGCUGCUUGCCGCUUCUUUCGCUUGGCGCAUGCAUGAUAAGUGCCACUUGCCCAGCCCACAGACUCCAGUAACUCCGUACCACCGUGCCACAGUGCCACCGUACCCACUUGAGAGACUCAGCCUUCCCCCUUUGACGCCUCCGUGGGCCCCGUUGCGUAUUUGCUUUGAUGAAAAUGUUUCCCAUUACUUGGUUGGGCAUUGGCUGCCCCUCAUGCGCCUGGCCGCCUUCUCCUGCUGCUCCUUCAGGCUUCUCUGUGUGUCUGCUGCCUACCAUCGUUGAUUAUUGUGCAGCAUGUGGCAGCAUGCCUGCGCCUCGGACAGUUGCCACUUGUGCAACGCGUGAAGCCAAUUUGAGCAGCAUUGGGAUUCCAGCUUUGUAAUUACAUAACUCGCAGCUGGAAUUGCGACUGAAGUUAGACUUGGACUUGGACUUGGACUUGGACUUGGUCUUUGCUAGCAGCCCCCUUCGCCCUUCUGACCACGACUUUAGAGUGACUGCAUCCGCCAAGGCCUUCGGAUGGAUUGUUAUCCCAAAGCUGAUGGCAGCGUAAAUAGCCUCAAAUGGCGUGUGGAACGUGCUAAGUCUGGUAUUUCAUGAAUGAAGAGAUUGGUAUGCUCCAUAGGAAUCAAACAAAUAGAUCCAUCAAAUUGUCAUUUCACGUUAAAUUAUGUAGAAGUAUACAUGUUGAAUUGCCAUAACAUAUUUUCUCAUUUAUAUUUAAAUAUAUGAAUGUGCACUUACCACAAAAUCGAUAGUUGUCUUCUAUCAGAAGAAAAGAAACAGCCUAUUUUUCGGACAACACUGUAAAAAAAUGAGAGAAGAAAGUGGACAAGAAUGAGUAUAAGAAAAAGAUACGAGCGAGAGAGAGAGAUAUUCAUAAUCAUAAUUGUUGAAUAGGCUUUGAGCCAAUCUGGCGGAUAUAUACAUAUACUAAUGUGUAAGCGAUCAAUUGUGAUUAUUAAAAAUGUAAUAAAGCGGAUGUUUUAUAUCACACAAUUAUGG